rfam:Trichobilharzia regenti genome assembly, scaffold: TRE_scaffold0046715
UAAACGGCUUUAUUCAAAGCCAUCAUUGCAGUUAAUUAGUAGUUCG